UACGUAGGGGCCGAGCGUUGUCCGGAUUUAUUGGGCGUAAAGAGCUCGUAGGCGGUUUGUUGCGUCGGCUGUGAAAUCCCGAGGCUCAACCUCGGGUCUGCAGUCGAUACGAGCAAACUAGAGUGUUGCAGGGGAGACUGGAAUUCCUGGUGUAGCGGUGAAAUGCGCAGAUAUCAGGAGGAACACCGGUGGCGAAGGCGGGUCUCUGGGCAACAACUGACGCUGAGGAGCGAAAGCGUGGGGAGCGAACAGG
rnacentral:rRNA from 1 species